CCGGCACGGGUGAGUAACGCAUAUGCAACUUGCCUAUCAGGAGGGGAUAACCCGGCGAAAGUCGGACUAAUACCGCAUGAAGCAGGGGCCCCGCAUGGGGAUAUUUGCUAAAGAUUCAUCGCUGAUAGAUAGGCAUGCGUUCCAUUAGGCAGUUGGCGGGGUAACGGCCCACCAAACCGACGAUGGAUAGGGGUUCUGAGAGGAAGGUCCCCCACAUUGGACUGAGACACGGUCCAA
rnacentral:rRNA from 1 species